AGUGAACGCUGGCGGUAGGCCUAACACAUGCAGGUCGAACGGCAGCACAGUAAGAGCUUGCUCUUACGGGUGGCGAGUGGCGGACGGGUGAGGAAUACAUCGGAAUCUACUUUUUCGUGGGGGAUAACGUAGGGAAACUUACGCUAAUACCGCAUACGACCUACGGGUGAAAGCAGGGGAUCUUCGGACCUUGCGCGAUUGAAUGAGCCGAUGUCGGAUUAGCUAGUUGGCGGGGUAAAGGCCCACCAAGGCGACGAUCCGUAGCUGGUUUGAGAGGAUGAUCAGCCACACUGGAACUGAGACACGGUCCAGACUCCUACGGGAGGCAGCAGUGGGGAAUAUUGGACAAUGGGCGCAAGCCUGAUCCAGCCAUACCGCGUGGGUGAAGAAGGCCUUCGGGUUGUAAAGCCCUUUUGUUGGGAAAGAAAAGCAGCAGGUUAAUACCCCGCUGUUCUGACGGUACCCAAAGAAUAAGCACCGGCUAACUUCGUG
rnacentral:rRNA from 1 species